UACGUAGGUGGCGAGCGUUACUCGGAAUUACUAGGCGUAAAGAGCGUGUAGGCGGUUGGCUAAGUCUGUUGUGAAAUCUCCAUGCUUAACGUGGAGGGGUCAACAGAGACUGGUCAGCUUGAGUCUGGGAGAGGUAACUGGAAUUCCCGGUGUAGCGGUGAAAUGCGUAGAUAUCGGGAGGAACGCCAAUGGCGAAAGCAGGUUACUAGACCAGUACUGACGCUGAGACGCGAAAGCUAGGGGAGCAAACAGG
rnacentral:rRNA from 1 species